GGGGAUUUAGCUCAGCGGCAUAAGCGCCUGCCUUGGAAGCAGGGAGUCGUGAGUUCGAUCCCCG
rnacentral:tRNA from 1 species